rnacentral:SRP_RNA from 1 species
UCGUGCUAGACGGGGAGGUAGCGGUUCCUUGUAACUCGCAAUCCGCUAUAGCGAGGUUGAAUUCCUUUGUUGAGAGUCUGGUAGUCGGAGCAGUCCUGGUAUAGAUGUGAUGAUUUUUUGGUCCUACGCAACGGCACCCUUUGAACCGUGUCAGGUCCUGACGGAAGCAGCACUAAGAAGAUCGUUCCGUGUGCCGUGGGGUUGCCGAGAAUGAGCAUUGGUAUCAGAGUAACGUCCGGUUGCCACGAUUCGAUCAAAGGUGCACGA